UACGGAGGGUGCAAGCGUUAAUCGGAAUUACUGGGCGUAAAGCGCACGCAGGCGGUCUGUCAAGUCGGAUGUGAAAUCCCCGGGCUUAACCCGGGAAUUGCAUCUGAUACUGGUCAGCUAGAGUCUUGUAGAGGGGGGUAGAAUUCCAUGUGUAGCGGUGAAAUGCGUAGAGAUCUGGAGGAAUACCGGUGGCGAAGGCGGCCCCCUGGACAAAGACUGACGCUCAGGUGCGAAAACGUGGGGAGCAAACAGG
rnacentral:rRNA from 1 species